rnacentral:sRNA from 1 species
ACAGAGUUGGCGGUGACUGCCUUAGCAGUCAGGCCUCAGGGCCCGGGCAGGCACAGCCAGCGGGACUCGAAGCAGGCUGGCGCCGGGGCUCGGGUAGCCGCCUCACAGCUGCAGGCGGACUAAUCUCCAGAAUCUGGUCUCCAGGAACAUUAUUCUAAUCUGUGUAUGGAAAAAUCCCAGAAAAUUAAUCCUUUUAUAUUGCAUAUACUCCAAGAAGUGGAUGAAGAAAUUAAAAAGGGGCUAGCAGCAGGAAUCACAUUAAACAUUGCUGGUAACAAUCGCUUAGUGCCAGUAGAAAGAGUUACAGGUGAAGAUUUUUGGAUUCUUUCCAAAAUUUUAAAGAAUUGUCUGUAUAUUAAUGGUUUGGAUGUUGGAUAUAACCUUCUAUGUGACGUUGGUGCAUACUAUGCUGCGAAACUGCUUCAGAAACAACUUAAUCUCAUUUACUUAAACCUCAUGUUUAAUGAUAUUGGGCCCGAAGGUGGAGAAUUGAUUGCUAAAGUGCUACAUAAGAAUCGGACUCUGAAAUACCUAAGAAUGACUGGAAACAAAAUUGAAAAUAAAGGUGGAAUGUUUUUUGCUGCAAUGCUGCAAAUUAAUUCAUCCUUAGAGAAAUUAGAUCUGGGUGACUGUGAUCUGGGAAUGCAAAGUGUGAUAGCAUUUGCUACAGUACUAACUCGAAACCAAGCAAUUAAGGCAAUAAACCUAAACCGACCUAUACUGUAUGGUGAACAGGAAGAGUCUACAGUCCAUGUAGGCCGCAUGUUGAAAGAAAAUCACUGUCUUGUUGCACUACACAUGUGUAAGCAUGAUAUAAAAAACAGUGGUAUACAACAGUUAUGUGAUGCACUGUAUCUGAACAGUAGCCUGCGCUACCUUGAUGUCAGCUGCAACAAAAUAACUCAUGAUGGAAUGGUGUAUUUGGCUGAUGUACUGAAAAGCAACACUACCCUGGAAGUAAUAGAUCUUUCCUUUAACAGAAUAGAAAAUGCAGGCGCAAACUAUCUCAGUGAAACUCUUACUUCACACAACAGGAGUCUUAAAGCGUUAGUAUGGUUUUAUAUUUAAUCAAAAUAACAGAAAAGCAAAUUUUUAAAUACUAACCUCAAUCCCCUUAACUCUUAAGAUUAUAAUGAAAUAUGAAAACUCAGCUUCUAAACUGACAUAGUAUUAAGUUACAGUAAACAUUUACAUUUCUGUUUUUCAAAUGUAAUGUAUUUUACAAUUAGACUGAUUCUAUUAACGAUUCCUUCAAAUUAAUGAGAAAAUUUGUAUUGCUUAUAUUACUUAUCCUAAAUUCUAAUAGAAAACUCAGAAGCAUUCAAUAUGAUCAAGACUUUUAAAAAUAAGAAUGAACUAAAGAAUAAAAUACUUGGAUGCAUUUAUCCAGAAAAAUAUAUCUGCUAUCCACCCAAACAUUUACUGAAUAAUAUAAAACAGAAGACUUUCAAAAUGUAGUUAGCUCUACUAAGUACCUUAAGGAUCUAAUUAGAAAACUAAGUUUCUUGGAUUUUAGGGAUUAAAUGGUCAGUAUUUUUACCACUACAUUACAACAUACUGAAGAAUAAUGCUAAGACUACACAAGAAAGUGUUUGUAAUAAAUGUUGCUAAUUUUUGUAUUCUUUCCUUGUGGAAUUAUUGGUUUCAGGUUGUCAGUAGUCAGCAACAACAUAGAGGGAGAAGGACUUGUUGCACUUUCACAAUCAAUGAAAACAAAUCUCACUUUCUCUCAUAUCUACAUUUGGGGAAACAAAUUUGAUGAGGCUACAUGUGUAGUAAGUUUUAAGUUUUUUCCUUCACUAAAGGCUUUUUCUGGGAUCAUCUCUGUAAUAUCAGAUAUUAUUUACAGGUGCCUCAGAAAUGGUUACACAGCGAGACACAGCAGUUUUGAUAAUUAACAUAAGUCCUAAAAUUAGCUACUAGAGAGUUUGGUGGUUGAAAUAACAAAAGAUAUUAAAACUAUGUAUUAGUAUUACACAUCACUGAAUGACACAGUUCUAAUUCCUCUAAGGUUAAAAAAAAUCAUAAUUAUUGAUCAGAUGUAGCAAAAUUUCUGAUCUGCUCCCUAAUAAUUAUACCAAAAUAUGGAAUGGGAGAGAUACAGUACAAGCUAUCAAAAUAUUUGGCAUGUUGCUCACAUAAAUACAGACAGCCUUUGAUACUACUUUCAAAACAGAAAUAAUGGUAACAGUUUUCAUUUGGAAAGAACGAGGGGGAAAAAGUAGAUGUUAAAAUUCUCAAAAUUUGUAAAAGGACUAACAAAAAUUCCACCACUAAAAAGAGUAAUAAAACAUACAGUGUUGUCUAAACCACCCUCCCAAAAAAAAAACCCUUAAUUUUAGAAAAACAUCCAUAAUUCUUUAGGUUCUACACAUCAGUAGCUGAAUAAGUUGAGUCUGGAACUAGAACUAAUGAUGAGUGACAAGCUAAAGCAAAAACCAACUUGACUUUUAAAUCUUUUAAUGUCUAAAUUUCCAUCUUUCUCCAUAAUGCCAACCUUACUGACAAACCAGUUCAACGUAUUUGUAUGACUCUGUUACAUAGAUACUAAGGAUUGUGGCUCAUGCCUGUAAUCCCAGCACUUUGGGAGGCCAAGGCGGGGGGAUCACGAGGUCAAGAGAUUGAGACCAUCCUGGCCAACGUGGUGAAACCCUGUCUCUACUAAAAGUACAAAAAUUAGCUGGGUGUGGUGGUGCGCUGGGCCUGUAGUCCCAGCUAUUCAGGAGGCUGAGGCAGGAGAAUCUCUUGAACCCAGGAGGCAGAGGUUGCAGUGAGCCGAGAUUGUGCCACUGCACUCCAGCUUGGCGACAGAGCAAGACUCUUGUCUCAAAAAAAAAAAAAAAAGUAUAAAAAUUCUACAAUGAAGAAAUAAUUAAUAGGUCAGCAUCCAAUACUAUGGAAUUGUCUCUUUUAGCCUACAUCUGUAGAUUAGAUUUGGGGGGUCAUGAACUCUAUAUUAAAUUGUAUGUCCAAAUCUGGGAUUCCCUUAAUUUUUCUGAGGAAUGGGUAACUAGCUAUCAGCAGAUUUUUGAGAAUGUAUACAAUAGCCCUCCUACCCAGCCCCCCUACCUAUUCCAAUUUAUGAACAUCUGUGGGACUUGAAAAUUUUGACCAUAGGAGCUUUGGUCCACAAAACUGGUAGUACAGAAAAUUAACUCUAGGAGUCACAAAAUGACAAAACAUGUCUAAUACAUUAAAAGUUAGAAAUAAGUUUUGCAAUAUUAUAAUUUCAUUCUGUGUAAUUAAAUGAAUAAAAAUCUACCUACAAUACCUGGAAAAUAUUAAAAUUCAGCAGUGUUAUUCAGAAUAUUUUAAACUACAAAUUAACACAGCUAAUUUGAAUAUUUAAAUUUCCUUAAGCACUGUAAAUUGGAUACAUUUUUUCUUAAUGAUAUAGUUUUUCUUUUCUUAAAAAUCCUAGGCAUAUUCAGACUUAAUUCAAAUGGGUUGUUUAAAACCAGACAAUACAGAUGUGGAGCCAUUUGUGGUAGAUGGACGUGUAUAUCUUGCAGAAGUCUCCAAUGGCCUUAAAAAGCAUUAUUAUUGGACAUCAACUUAUGGAGAAUCUUAUGAUCACUCAUCUAAUGCAGGUUUUGCUCUUGUUCCAGUAGGUCAACGGCCAUGAAAAAGUAGCUCUAAAAUAAUUUUCAUACAUUUGUCUUAUUGUUUCACAGAGAUUAAUAUUCUAUAGCCUAUUUUCUUUUAUAAAUUAAAACAAGUUACUUUUUUCAAAUGUGUAAAAGAUAAUGACUGUAUUAAACUUUGUAUAACUGUCUAUUGUGAAAAA